rnacentral:rRNA from 1 species
UACGUAGGUGGCAAGCGUUGUCCGGAUUUACUGGGCGUAAAGAGCGCGCAGGCGGUCGUUCAAGUCGCGUGUGAAAGCCCCCGGCUCAACUGGGGAGGGUCACGCGAUACUGAUCGACUGGAAGGCAGGAGAGGGUAGUGGAAUUCCCGGUGUAGUGGUGAAAUGCGUAGAUAUUCGCAAGAACACCAGUGGCGAAGGCGGCUCACUGGCCCGGUACUGACGCUGAGGUGCGAAAGCGUGGGGAGCAAACAGG